rnacentral:sRNA from 1 species
AUGAUUCUCAGUGAUUACAGUGGCGGCGACGAUGAAGUCGAAGUCGAAGUCGAAGUCAAGGUGAGCCGAGAUGUGGGUCCAGGACAAGAGCUGAGAUGUGGGUCUAAGCCAGAGUCGAACAAGCACUUGUGGGAGUAGAUUUCAUCAAAGAUGAGAGAAAUGGAGGAACUUACUUAAAGAGUUCAAGAAGGCUAAGCACCAAGAUAGAGGGAGAAAGAAGAAAAAGAGGAAGAAAGAAAGAAGACAAAAGAAAGAAUGGGAGGUGAAGAAAUUGAGAGAAAGAUUUGGGGAAGAAGAAGAAGAAGAAACUAAGCACAAACAUAAUAGAUCUAAACUCCACCAUUUUUUUAUUAUAAUUUUUUAUAAUUUUUAAUUUUUAAAAUUGAUAAAUUUAUUUAUUUUUUAGUUAGAUGUUGAUGUGGAUGCUAGCGUGGAUGCUGAUAUAGCAUUUUUUAAUAUUAUUUUAAUGGACAUGUUAGCAUUUAUUGUGUCAAUAGUGUACUCCGUUUGCCACGUAGGAUAUUUCUGUUAAGUGAGUGAUAGUAAGGACCAAAAUAAAAUGUGUUUUUAGUUUUAGGGACUAAAAGUAGUAAAAUAGAAAUGUAAGGACCAAAAUAGAAAUGACGUCAAAAUGUAGGGACCAAAAAUGCAUUUUUUUCCCCCUCCCCCCCUAAAAUUUAGCCUUUUGUUUUCCUUUUUAUCCAAAAACACCUCUGAUUUAAAAAAUAAAAUAAAACUAUUGAAUUUAAAAUUAAAAAAAAAAUACUUAUCCUUAUCCCAUUUUUUUUUUUUUGAGAAUCUAAUUGCAAUUUGAAAACCAAUAAGUGAGGAGUCCAAAUCUUCAAUCCCACUAUUCCUGCUCUUAAUUAGGUGAACACAUGGCAAGUACUUAUUGGUGGAGUAUAGAGUGGAGCAGGAAAAGUGGGAAAAAAGAUUUGAACUCAAUAAGUGAGUGGUCAUGUUUUGUAGCCAAUGUUUUAGUGGAGUUAAAAAAUGUACUUUUACUAGGUUGUCUUAAAAUUCUGUCAGGGUGUAAGGAUAUUUUUGAACCAUAGAAAAGUCAAUCAUAAAUAGGAAAAGUCUUAUAAAUAGUAGUAUAGAAUAAAUACAAUCAAGAUUUACAUUUAUCCUUAAAAAAUUCAUGAUUUUCAUAAAUUACUAACUAAAUACUUGUUAUAUAUUAAAAUAAAAUGUCAAAAAACUCUUUGUCUCUCUCUCUCUUCCACAAAAAGGGGAAGGAUGGCGAUGAAGAAGAAUAGAUAGAUCUAAUCAAAUUAGGAUAGUUUUCAGCAUGUAUAUAGCUAGAAAUGUCCCACCAAAACAGUCCAAGUAGCCAAUUGAAAUGUGAUUAUAAAAAUAAAUAAAAAUUUGAGAUAGUUACAAUAUAUUGCUAAUCCCGCAACUUGAACAUUUUUUUUAAAACUUAAAAAUACUAAAAACGGGUACAACACGUCUUAAUAAAGAUGUUGUAUAACCAGUCAAUUUUAUAAACUAGUUAUAUAACUUAUAGACCUGGUUUUAGUAGCAUAAGCAUGUGUAAACUAUUAUAUUUACAUAUCCAAUACCAAACAAAACCUCCAAUUAUUAUCAAAUAUAAUAUAUAAAUACAUAAAUUCUAAGCUAAUUACUCAAAACUCAAUCCAUCCUUUCCGAAUCUAGAUACAGAACUUAUAAUAAAAAAACAUUAUUAUAUCUUAUAUUAUGUAAUGUAAUAGACAGUAGACACUCAACAAGCAUAUAUUAUUUCAUCAAAAUAUAUAUAUAUAUAUAUAUAUAUAUAAAAUAUUAUUAUUUAGGAUGGUCAGAGUUGUCAGACAAGCUUGGCAAUUGUAUUACAUCCAAACAAACACAUAUAUUUGCAACUAUUAUGAUUCGUGAUGUACUAGAAGUCUAGAAAAAAGUCUAGAAAGACUAACAUUUAACCUAUUUCAUAAAUAGUCACCAAAUGCUUUUUUUCCCCCCCUGAUAAAUCAAUAAUUGAGGGGAUGGAGGAAUUUGAACCCUAAAUAUCUUCGUUGGAAACACCAAAUGGUGCUAAUUGAGUUACAAGGCUCUUGGUGAGUCACUAAUUAUAUAUAGCAUUUUUUUGAAUUGUUGCGGGUAACCUUUUCCUAUCCAUUUUAUGAAAUUUCAUUUUGAAUAUUUCUUGAGCUUUGAUCCUAGAAAUUGAUAUCUAAUUGUUCCAACUUCAAUCUUAUUCUCUCUAAUUUUCUUCUCUUUUUUUAAUCUUAUUGCCAGAAUUUCUGUUUCUACGCUAAACGUAAGUCCUCACCACAUCAAGUUGUAUUAGAGCAAAAGAUCCAAGAUCUAAGCCAAAAAAUUCAUAUCUGAGUCAAAGGUAGUAACUUUAAGCUAUGGCCAGCCGUAGUAGAGAUCAUGAGGGUAGAGGAAAUCAAGGAUAGUAGAAAAAAAAAAUAAUGAGAGAUGAGGCGUAUUAUUGAAGAUUUAUUGCUAGCUGUUCUUUUCUGCAAUGGAACCAGUGGGAGACUCACAUGAAGAUUUUGGAAGGAAACUAAAACCCCUUGUACAUAUUGGAAAGUGAAUUUUUUUUUCUAAAUAACAAUAAAUAUUAAAAAAUUUAGUUAGUUGUCACGUUUGAAAACAAUGUUUAAAACUAGCAUCUUGAGUGUCUAAAACUCGAGUUCCAAUAUAUAAAUCGAGUUUUUAAGUCUUGAUUUGCAUGUGGUGGUAGGUGAGGUGGAGGAAAAAUUCACGUGGAACUCGAGUUUCUAAGAGUUGAGUUUUACUUUUUAAUACUCGAGUUUUGAAAACUUGAGUUUUACCAUAUGAUUUUCCUUCUUCUUCCUCAAGUUCUUUUGACCCAACAUUGUUCUUCUUCAUUCUUCGACAUUGCAGAACGUUCCUCUUUAGAUCGGAGCUCUAGCAUUCAAUCAACUAGCUUUCUUUGUUCAAUCCACCAAAUCGGAGCCCCAACGUUCUUCAUUCUUCCUCUGUUCUCUGUUCUUCGUCAGAUUGUCGACGCUGCACAUCGUUCCUCUUCAGAUCGAAGCUCCAUCGUUCCUCUUCAGUUCUUCCUCUGGUCUCUGUUCUUCGUUAGAUUGUUCUUUGCGUCUUAA